CUCCUGCUGCCAGCCAACACUUCCCGACCCACACUCCACACCAUCAAAUACCCUCGUCGGCGGUGGUGGCCUUCCCCACCCAGAUAUUUCGGGCCUUACCUCUGGACCACGAAGUCCCCUCCCAUCAACUCCAGCGGCGUCAGUUCUUAACCCUAACCAGGAAAUUGCUUCCCCACAUAUCGCCUUGUCUAUUCCCAAUGAGUACCCCGUCAUACAACACCAUUCCAUACUUGUUCUGGUGGUGAUAUUGGGGUACAUACAACACAUAAAACAGUACGGAAAGCAGAGAAGAGAAGGCAAUUGUGCUUCUAAAUGGAGGAAACCAGCGUGAACUCGCCCUUGCCAUUCUUGGCAUGCCAGACCAAUCCAAUUGGUCAGUAGCCUUGCCGCGACAGAAUUAAGUGAUGGUCACUCUUUUUCAGAGAUUAAUUCCACUAUACUUCCUUGUAAUGAAUUCUUACACCCAAGAAGAGACGAUGUUUUUCUGUAGAUGUAAGUAUAAUGCAGAUUGUAAUAUAGUGGACACAUGCAUUUCUGUGUGUAUACUUCUGA